AUUGAACGCUGGCGGCAGGCCUAACACAUGCAAGUCGAGCGGAUGAAGGGAGCUUGCUCCUGGAUUCAGCGGCGGACGGGUGAGUAAUGCCAAGGAAUCUGCCUGGGAGUGGGGGAUAACGUCCGGAAACGGGCGCUAAUACCGCAUACGUCCUGAGGGAGAAAGUGGGGGAUCUUCGGACCUCACGCUAUCAGAUGAGCCUAGGUCGGAUUAGCUAGUUGGUGGGGUAAAGGCCUACCAAGGCGACGAUCCGUAACUGGUCUGAGAGGAUGAUCAGUCACACUGGAACUGAGACACGGUCCAGACUCCUACGGGAGGAAGCAGUGGGGAAUUUUGGACAAUGGGCGAAAGCCUGAUCCAGCCAUGCCGCGUGUGUGAAGAAGGUCUUCGGAUUGUAAAGCACUUUAAGUUGGGAGGAAGGGCAGUAAGUUAAUACCUUGCUGUUUUGACGUUACCAACAGAAUAAGCACCGGCUAACUUCGUG
rnacentral:rRNA from 1 species